GCUGUCGUGCAGGACCAAAAAUAGGAUUUUGUGUUUCCCAUUACCGUCAGGGCUGUAAUAGGGAUGCUGCUUGUGUACGAAACCCAUGGUGCUGUCCAAUAAACCCAUGGAUAUCUUGAAGAUCAGGCCAAUGACCCAACAUCACUGCCUGCUACUGCUUUAUCUUUCUUUAUAUAAAUAAAAAUGCUAUCUAGCAAACUCUAAAACAUUUAUGCUUUUAAGAAAAAAAUGGCAAAUAUUGCUUGAAAUAAAGCUAUAUGAGCAUUGCA